rnacentral:rRNA from 1 species
UACAGAGGGGGCAAGCGUUGUUCGGAAUCACUGGGCGUAAAGCGCACGUAGGUGGAUAGUUAAGUUCGGGGUGAAAUCCCAGGGCUCAACCCUGGAACUGCCUCGGAUACUGGCUAUCUCGAGUCCGGAAGAGGUGAGUGGAAUUCCUAGUGUAGAGGUGAAAUUCGUAGAUAUUAGGAAGAACACCGGUGGCGAAGGCGGCUCACUGGUCCGGUACUGACACUGAGGUGCGAAAGCGUGGGGAGCAAACAGG